GCACCAGCCCAGACAGGUCAAAGAGCAGGAUUCCAAGCAGUUGAGAUGGUCUCUGGAGAAGCCUGGAAUUUCCCUGUGACACAGAAGUGGCAGAAAGAGGAACCUGAGGGACUCAUGUCCCAGGAACACCGAAUCAUCACAGAGCAUUUACAUCCAAAAUCCAUUUUCCUUCAGAACAGUGCCCAGGAUGGAGUAAGUGAAGGUGAGCCUCUACACAUUGGUAAAUCUGUGAUUUGUCUGUACGAUAACUGGGCCUUUAGAACUGACAAGGGGAUUUCCUAUGUGAUUCUCGCAGGAGAGCUCUGCAGAGUUCCUGGAAAAUCCCCUAUCAGACACUGCCAGGAAACAGGGCUUCCCCAGAAGUGACAGUGGUAGACAACCAUUCCAAAAAGACCCUGGGCUCCUCGUCUGAAACACAGGAAAUUAGGAAAGGUGACUCUGUAAGGCUGUAAGCUUGGUAUUUCCCAGGAAGAUGCUCUAAAGUGAUCUCAAACUCAGUGUAUCAACACAGACAAGAUGACACUGCAGUUAUCUGUUUAGCUGCCUCGUUCUUCCUGUAAGCUGUGCACUCCUAAGGGCAAGGACCAGUUUGUAGUCAUCCUCCAGUGCCUGGCACGUAGCAGACCCAUGAGACAUGAGGGUGAAUGAGCAACUGGACUGACCAGCUGAGAUGGAAGUGUUGAUUCUCUCCAGCUGUGAACCUCUCACCUGUCUCCUCAGCUGGGUUGCAAGCUCCCUGGGAGCUAGGAAUAGAUCUUUUCUUCACACAGUCUCCAAGCAGGGCUGCACUCAGGAUGCACUCGUGUGCCCAGGCAAGUUGUUAAAGUAUUGAAAUACUUCUGUACGGUUGCUGCCUAAGCUCCAGAGAGGCCCCCACCCCCAGAUGCCCAGCACCUCCCCCAGAGCCCCACCCCACCAUCUGGCUGCUCUAGGGUGACGCCUGACCUGGCAGGGCCUCUGAGACUCAGCUCCAGCUCUGUGGCUGCAUCCUUCUGAUGGGCCGGUAUAUCGUCGUGACCUUGUUAGGUGUCUGAGUGAUGCACCAGCCCGAUGCAGGUGAUAGGGAUGCAACAGACGCUUGGAAAGCACUGCUUGUUACCUGACAAUUGAUAUACAUGGGCUCUGGUCUCCCAGCGGACUGAGGCAGUGCUCAGACACUGCUCAGUGGGCAGUGUCUGCUACCUGAUGCCAAGAAGAUACGUUUAUGGGGUCAGUGGCUGGACAGCAGAAGGCCUUCCAAGGACACCUGCAGGUGAAGAAAAAUAGAGACUUGCUGUCCUUGCUGCUGCCAUCCCUGUCAACCCAUCCGUUUGUCCAUCCAGCCACUGUUUGGGGACCACACUUCGGGCACAUCAGCUCCAGGAAGGCCAGAGAGCAGGUCAUGCAGCACAACGAGCAGUGCCGGAGGAUGGGCAGGGGCAGCAGGAAGAGGUCAAACUUGGUGCCAGGGGGCCGGUCUGAGCCCCAGCCCCCUGCUCAGCUAGCCUGGCGACGGUACUCUCGGAGCCUGUGCUUCCCCUUCUGCGCUAGGGGCGGAGCUAACCUGCCUUCUGGCUUGCUGUGAGGCCCAGUGCAUGGAACAAAGGCUCUGAUCUGGGACCACAGUUGGGGCUUGCCCUCCUGAUGGACUCUUAUUUGGCUAAAUCAAGACUUUUAAAAAUGACAGAGUGGUUACACAGGUAUGCCUUGUUUGCAAAGAUGCACUGAGCUGUAUACUUAAGUAUGCUCUUCGAUAUGGAACCUAGUUAUGAUUAAAAAAAGUUAAAUAU